GUAGUGGGUGAUGUGGAUAGUGUAUAGGUGGUGGGUGAUGUGGAUAGAUAGUGGGUGAUGUGGAUAGUAGAUGGGUAGUGGGUGAUGUGGAUAGUAGAUAGGUAGUGGGUGAUGUGGAUAGGUAGUGGGUGAUGUGGAUAGUAUAUAGGUAGUGGGUGAUGUGGAUAGUGGAUAGGUAUUGGAUGAUGUGGAUAGUAGAUAGGUAUUGGAUUAUGUGGAUAGUAGAUAGGUAGUGGGUGAUGUGGAUAGUGGAUAGGUAGUGGGUGAUGUGGAUAGUGGAUAGGUAGUGGGUGAUGUGGAUAGUGGAUAGGUAGUGGGUGAUGUGGAUAGGUAGUGGAUGAUGUGGAUGGUGUGGAUAGUGGAUAGGCAGUGGAUGAUGUGGAUAGUAGAUAGGUAGUGGGUGAUGUGGAUAGUGGAUAGGUAGUGGGUGAUGUGGAUAGUGGAUAGGUAGUGGGUGAUGUGGAUAGUGGAUAGGUAGUGGGUGAUGUGGAUGGUGUGGAUAGUGGAUAGGCAGUGGAUGAUGUGGAUAGUAGAUAGGUAGUGGGUGAUGUGGAUAGGUAGUGGGUGAUGUGGAUAGUAUAUAGGUAGUGGGUGAUGUGGAUAGUGGAUAGGUAGUGGGUGAUGUGGAUAGGUAGUGGGUGAUGUGGAUAGGUAGUGGGUGAUGUGGAUCGUAGAUAGGUAGUGUGUGAUGUGGAUAGGUAGUGGAUGAUGUGGAUAGGUAGUGGAUGAUAGUAGGUUGUGUUUGUUUAUGUAUGAACUAGAGAGGGUCAACUCUAGUUGAAUUUGACAUGCCUUCAUGUAGGAAAUAGGUAAAGUGGUCUGUGUAAAAAUACCAU
ensembl:lncRNA